GACAGAGGGUGCAAGCGUUGUUCGGAAUUAUUGGGCGUAAAGGGCGCGUAGGCGGCGUCGCAAGUCGGAUGUGAGAGCCCAGGGCUUAACCCUGGAAGUGCAUCCGAUACUGCGAUGCUUGAAUCCCGGAGAGGGUGGGGAAUUCCCAGUGUAGAGGUGAAAUUCGUAGAUAUUGGGAGGAACACCGGUGGCGAAGGCGACCACCUGGACGGAGAUUGACGCUGAGGCGCGAAAGCGUGGGGAGCAAACAGG
rnacentral:rRNA from 1 species